UAAAUGAGAGUUGGAUGGAAAAUUGAGAAAUGUUGAUAUUGAAGUUGCAAUGAGUCUUGGUAUUUUCCGGAUGGUUUUGAUGAGUUAAAUUAUUGAAAAUAUUAUGUAUUGAGUCUUCAUAUCCUUGUCCAAAUAUCGAGUCAGUUAUGGUUCAAUGCAUUGAUACCUUGUUGAUGUUGAGGAAGAUUAAAAUGUUUUGAGCUAAAAUAUGUUGAGUUAGGAAUCCACAAAUUGAUAUGAUUUGAUAAAUGAGAA
rnacentral:lncRNA from 1 species